rnacentral:rRNA from 1 species
UACGAAGGGGGCUAGCGUUGUCCGGAAUCAUUGGGCGUAAAGAGCGUGUAGGCGGUCCGAUAAGUCGGCUGUGAAAGUCCAGGGCUCAACCCUGGGAUGCCGGUCGAUACUGUCGGACUAGAGUUCGGAAGAGGCGAGUGGAAUUCCCGGUGUAGCGGUGAAAUGCGCAGAUAUCGGGAGGAACACCUAUGGCGAAGGCAGCUCGCUGGGACGUUACUGACGCUGAGACGCGAAAGCGUGGGGAGCAAACAGG